GCGAGUCGAGAGGUGCAAGACCUCGGCGUACUGCUCAGUAACACGUGGAUAACCUACCCUGUGGAGGGGGAUAACCCCGGGAAACUGGGGAUAAUACCCCAUAGGUUAGGGUGGCUGGAAUGCCCCCUAGCUCAAAGGUCCGCCGCCACAGGAUGGGUCUGCGCCCGAUUAGGUUGUUGUUGGGGUAACGGCCCAACAAGCCUUUGAUCGGUACGGGUUGUGGGAGCAAGUGCCCGGAGAUGGAUUCUGAGACACGAAUCCAGGCCCUACGGGGCGCAGCAGGCGCGAAAACUUUACAAUGCGAGAAAUCGUGAUAAGGGAACCCCGAGUGCCCGUAAAUUCGGGCUGUCCGCCAGUGCAAAAAACUGGCGAAGAAAGAGCCGGGCAAGACCGGUGCCAGCCGCCGCGGUAACACCGGCGGCUCGAGUGGUGGUCACUAUUACUGGGCUUAAAGCGUCCGUAGCUUGGUUGUUAAGUCUCUUGGGAAAUCCACCGGCUCAACCGAUGGGCGUCAGGAGAUACUGGCAACCUAGGGACCGGGAGAGGUGAGGGGUACUCCAGGAGUAGGAGUGAAAUCCUGUAAUCCUUGGGGGACCACCUGUGGCGA
rnacentral:rRNA from 1 species